rnacentral:rRNA from 1 species
UACGGAGGGUGCAAGCGUUGCUCGGAAUUACUGGGCGUAAAGGGCGUGUAGGCGGUUUCGUAUGUCUGGCGUGAAAGCCCCGGGCUCACCUCGGGAAGUGCGUCGGAAACUACGAGACUAGAGUCCCGGAGAGGGAGGUGGAAUUCCAGGUGUAGCGGUGAAAUGCGUAGAUAUCAGGAGGAACACCAAUGGCGAAGGCAGCUCGCUGGGACGGUACUGACGCUGAGACGCGAAAGCGUGGGGAGCAAACAGG